CAAGUCGAACGAUGAAGUGGAGCUUGCUCCACGGAUUAGUGGCGAACGGGUGAGUAACACGUGAAUAACCUGCCCUCAAUUUCGGAAUAACCCAGGGAAACCUGGGCUAAUACCGGAUACGUAAACCUGUGGCAUCACAUGGUUUUGGAAAGUUUUUCGAUUGAGGAUGGAUUCGCGGCCUAUCAGCUUGUUGGUGAGGUAAUGGCUCACCAAGGCGACGACGGGUAGCCGGCCUGAGAGGGCGACCGGCCACACUGGGACUGAGACACGGCCCAGACUCC
rnacentral:rRNA from 2 species